GGUGCUAUACUGCAGUCGAACGCACAGCGAAAGGUGCUUGCCCCUGUUCGAGUGAGUGGCGAACGGGUGAGUAACACGUGGACAACCUGCCUCAAAGUUGGGGAUAACCUUUGGAAACAGAUGCUAAUACCGAGUAUGACUUAACGUCGCGUGACACAAAGUUAAAAGGCGCUUCGGCGUCACCUACAGAUGGAUCCGCGGUGCAUUAGUUAGUUGGUGGGGUAAAGGCCUACCAAGACAAUGAUGCAUAGCCGACUUGAAAGACUGAUCGGCCACAUUGGGACUGAAACACGGCCCAAACUCCUACGGGAGGCUGCAGUAGGGAAUCUUCCACAAUGGGCGAAAGCCUGAUGGAGCAACGCCGCGUGUGUGAUGAAGGCUUUCGGAUCGUAAAGCUCUGUUGUAUGGGAAAAACAGCUACAAUAGGAAAUGAUUUUAAUUUGACGGUUCCCUACCAGAAAGGGACCGCUAAAUUCCUGCCCGCAGCCGCGGUAAUACGUAUGUCGCGAGCGUUAUCCGGAUUUAUUGGGCGUAAAGCGAGCGCAGACGGUUUAUUAAGUCUGAUGUGAAAGCCCGGAKCUUCAACUUCCCGGGAAUUGSUCCAUKGGAAACCUGCGWKAWCUUGAGUGCAGUAGARGUAARUGGAACUUCCAUGUGUARCGGUAGRAAUGCGAUAGAUGAUAKGGAAGAACMCCAGUUGGCGAAGGCSKCUYWCUGGRWCUGCWACUGACGUUGARGCUGCGAAAGUGUGGGSKAGCAAAACAGGAUUAGAUACCCGUGGUAGUCCACACCGGUAAACGAUGAACWCGUAKRKUGCUUAGGAGGWUUCCGCCUCUUUAGUGCCGAMGCUUARCGCAUUAAGUGCUUCCGGCCUGUGRGASUACGAGYCGCAMSAUWGAAWSUYRAAGSAAUUGACGGGGACCCGCACAAGCGGUGGAGCAUGUGGUUUAAUUCGAAGCAACGCGAAGAACCUUACCAGGUCUUGACAUCCUCUGAAGCUUUUAGAGAUAGAAGUGUUCUCUUCGGAGACAAAGUGACAGGUGGUGCAUGGUCGUCGUCAGCUCGUGUCGUGAGAUGUUGGGUUAAGUCCCGCAACGAGCGCAACCCUUAUUGUUAGUUGCCAGCAUUCAGAUGGGCACUCUAGGGAGACUGCCGGUGACAAACCGGAGGAAGGCGGGGACGACGUCAGAUCAUCAUGCCCCUUAUGACCUGGGCUACACACGUGCUACAAUGGCGUAUACAACGAGCAGCCAACCCGCGAGGGUGAGCUAAUCUCUUAAAUUACGUCUCAGUUCGGAUUGUAGUCUGCAACUCGACUCCAUGAAGUCGGAAUCGCUAGUAAUCGCGGAUCAGCACGCCGCGGUGAAUACGUUCCCGGGCCUUGUACACACCGCCCGUCACACCACGGGAGUUUGUAAUGCCCAAAGUCGGUGGCGGUAACCUCUUAGGAACCAGCUCGUCUAAAGCAGCC
rnacentral:rRNA from 1 species